rnacentral:rRNA from 1 species
UACGUAGGGUGCAAGCGUUAAUCGGAAUUACUGGGCGUAAAGCGUGCGCAGGCGGUUAUGUAAGACAGAUGUGAAAUCCCCCGGGCUCAACCUGGGAACUGCAUUUGUGACUGCAUAGCUAGAGUACGGUAGAGGGGAUGGAAUUCCGCGUGUAGCAGUGAAAUGCGUAGAUAUGCGGAGGAACACCGAUGGCGAAGGCAAUCCCCUGGACCUGUACUGACGCUCAUGCACGAAAGCGUGGGGAGCAAACAGG